GUGCUUGCCUCAGCAGCACAUGUACUAAAAUUUAAAUGAUAUAGAGAUUAGCAUGGCGCCUGUGCAAAGAUGAUAUGCAAACUUGUGAAGCAUUACACAUUUUU
ensembl:snRNA U6 U6 spliceosomal RNA